CAUGGUUGAUCCUGCCAGUAGCAUAUGCUUGUCUCAAAGAUUAAGCCAUGCAUGUGUAAGUACACACGGCCGGUACAGUGAAACUGCAAAUGGCACAUUAAAUCAGUUAUGGUUCCUUUGAUUGUUCCAUCUAUUACUUGGAUAACUGUGGUAAUUCUAGAGAUAAUACAUGCUGACGAGUGCUGACAUCCCGGGAUGAGUGCAUUUAUCAGACCAAGACCAAUCCGGGCUCGCCCGGCCGCUUUGCUCACUCUAGAUAUCCUCGGGCCGAUUGCACGUCCCUGUGACGGUGCCAAUGCUUUUGGAUGUCUGCCCUAUCAACUUUUGAUGUUACUUUCUGUGCCUACCAUGGUGACCACGGAUAUCGGGGAAUCAAGGUUCGAUUCUAGAGAGGGAGCCUGAGAAACAGCUACCACAUCCAAGGAAGGCGGCAGGCACGCAAAUUACCCACUCCCGACUCAGGGAGGUAGUGAUGAAAAUAACAAUACAGGACUCUUUUGAGGCCCUGUAAUUGGAAUGAGUACACUUUAAAUCCUUUAACGAGGAUCCAUUCGAGGGCAAGUCUGGUGCCAGCAGCUGCAGUAAUUCCAGCUCCAAUGCAUAUAUAAAAGUUGCUGCAGUUAAAAAGCUUGUAGUUGGAUCUUGGGAUCAAGCUAGCGGUCCACCAUGAGGCGAGCUACCGCCUGUCCUACCCCCUGCCUCUCGGUGCCCCCUUGAUGCUCUUAACUGAGUGUCCUGGGGGUCUGAAACGUUUACUUUGAAAAAAUGAGAGUGUUCAAAGCAGGCCGGUCACCUGAAUACUUCAUCUAGGAAUAAUGGAAUAGGACUCUGGUUCUAUUUUGUUGAUUUUCGGUACUGGGCCAUGAUUAAGAGGAACGGCCGGGGGCAUUCGUAUUGUGCCGCUAGAGGUGAAAUUCUUGGACCGGCGCAAGACGAAUCAAAGCGAAAGCAUUUGACAAGAAUGUUUUCGUUAAUCAAGAACGAAAGUCGGAGGUUCGAAGAUGAUCAGAUACCAUCGUAGUUCUGUAGUUCGACCAUAAACGAUGCUGACUAGCGAUCCGGCUGCCGGGCUGCGUUAUUCACAAAAUGAAGGUUUGCACAGUUAUGACCCAUGGUGUUGAAGUAUGAGGAGAGAAGUACCAAAUUAAAUUAAAUAAUUUGAGGGCUAAAUUGGUUUUGAAAAAUUCUGACACUAUAUCCAACUCUACAAAUAGAAAAUAUAUUGCUGGAAGGAAAUAUCACCAGUUGUGAAAUGGUAUGCCUACGUAAGAUUGUAUUAUUAGGUAGGAGAUUCCAUGAGCAAGAGCAAGGUUCCUUAAUGUGUUGGUCAUGGGAGGUGCAUAAAAACCUGGAUCAACCGAUAAGACAUAGUUGUAUGAAACAUAUUGUAAUUGCAAUGGAGACCCAAAAGCAAAGUUUCUGGCAAAGGGGGGGCGUGGCUACGAGGGCCAUGUAGGAGGACGCGAUCUGGAGGAGCUCCCGAGAUCCUGAAAUGAUCCUGGCGAAAUAGUGCAUAACAACGUGCCUAUGAUUGCUGAAAACACACAUGUCGGUGUGUGAACGGACUGACUGCGCUUGGUGAACUUUUGGAAUGCGUGGGAGGAAUGGUGGUGGAGUUUUGUGUGAAAAAGAUAUGGAGCGCCGGAGACGGAAGACGAAACAAAAUGGCCGAUCAACGAAUGGAACAAAG
rnacentral:rRNA from 1 species